rnacentral:rRNA from 1 species
UCUGCCCAAAGGUUCGGAAUAACUCAGGGAAACUUGAGCUAAUACCGGAUAAUGUCGCAAGACCAAAGAUUUAUUGCCUUUGGAUGAGCCCGCGUAGGAUUAGCUAGUUGGUGGGGUAAAGGCCUACCAAGGCGACGAUCCUUAGCUGGUCUGAGAGGAUGAUCAGCCACACUGGGACUGAGACACGGCCCAGACUCCUACGGGAGGCAGCAGUGGGGAAUAUUGGACAAUGGGCGAAAGCCUGAUCCAGCAAUGCCGCGUGAGUGAUGAAGGCCCUCGGGUCGUAAAGCUCUUUUACCCGGGAUGAUAAUGACAGUACCGGGAGAAUAAGCUCCGGCUAACUCCGUGCCAGCAGCCGCGGUAAUACGGAGGGAGCUAGCGUUGUUCGGAAUUACUGGGCGUAAAGCGCACGUAGGCGGCUGUUCAAGUCAGAGGUGAAAGCCCGGGGCUCAACCCCGGAACUGCCUUUGAAACUAGACAGCUAGAAUCUUGGAGAGGCGAGUGGAAUUCCGAGUGUAGAGGUGAAAUUCGUAGAUAUUCG